rnacentral:rRNA from 1 species
UACGUAGGGUGCAAGCGUUGUCCGGAAUUAUUGGGCGUAAAGAGCUCGUAGGCGGCCUGUCGCGUCGGCUGUGAAAACCCGGGGCUCAACCCCGGGCCUGCAGUCGAUACGGGCAGGCUAGAGUCCGGCAGGGGAGACUGGAAUUCCUGGUGUAGCGGUGAAAUGCGCAGAUAUCAGGAGGAACACCGGUGGCGAAGGCGGGUCUCUGGGCAACAACUGACGCUGAGGAGCGAAAGCGUGGGGAGCGAACAGG